GCCUUCGUGGUGUAGUGGUCAGCCCGCUAGGCGCCUAUUCUAGAGGUCCGUGGUUCGAGUCCCGGCGAAGGCG
rfam:Stegodyphus mimosarum contig26643, whole genome shotgun sequence.